CCUACGGGUGGCAGCAGUGAGGAAUAUUGGUCAAUGGGCGCGAGCCUGAACCAGCCAAGUCGCGUGAGGGAAGACGGUCCUAUGGAUUGUAAACCUCUUUUGUCGGGGAGCAACAGACGCCACGCGUGGCGUUCCGAGAGUCCCCGAAGUAAAAGCAUCGGCUAACGCCGUGCCAGCAGCCGCGGGAAUACGGAGGAUGCGAUCGUUAUCGGGAUUUAUUGGGGUUAAAGGGGGCGCAGGCGGAAGAUCAAGGCAGCGGUAAAAUUGAGAGGCUCAACCUCUUCGAGCCGUUGAAACUGGUUUUCUUGAGUGAGUGAGAGGUAAGCGGAAUGCGGGGGGUAGCGGUGAAAUGCAUAGAUAUCACGCAGAACUCCGAUUGCGAAGGCAGCAUACCGGCGCUCAACUGACGCUCAUGCACGAAAGUGUGGGUAUCGAACAGGAUUAGAUACCCGGGUAGUC
rnacentral:rRNA from 1 species